UUUCAGGUGCACAGGUGUUCUACACAUUUAUUUGCUAAACCCUAUCCCAGGGAGAACUCCAUGCUUCCAAAAUCGUGUUAACCAGCAAGAAUGAAGGUCAGGAGCCUCCAGUAAACUAAUCCCAGGCUUGCUCUUAGGUGCUGUGGCCAGCCUAAGACUGAAGCAGUCACCCAUCUCUAGGCCUGUCCUUACCUGCUCCCUGAGCGGCAACGUUCACACCCUUUGGCCUGAAUCAUUUCAGGUCUUCCUCUGAUUGUGGAAAGUGGGAGCUACUCUCAAGCUGCAAUGCCAGGGCUUCUCAUUGCAGUGGCUUCUCUGGUGGAGCACAAGCUCUAGGGCUUGUGGGAUAGAAGAAGGAAUUCACAGGGCCUGGACUCCACCUUAGGCCUGUUCAUGCUGAUCAUGCUCGGCCACCUUUCCAAUGGACUCUGAACUCUGUGUUUAGUGCCUAUGAAAACAACAACAGAAGGAUAAGAGCCCCUCCAGACAGGGGAACCUUGAAGAUCGUACCUAGGUUACUCAUCGCCUAAGAGAAAACAUACACUAAUCACCCCUUCCUCCAGACAGGCCAUAAAUUUUUCUCUAUCUAUCGGAGUGUAACCUUGGGUUUAUUGAUUAUUGGCUAAUUAUUUGACUGUUUGAGCACAUGAGCACAUAGCACAUGAAUGAUGGGGUUAUUGGGAUUUAUUUUCCUUGGUUUAUGUAAGUCUCAAGGAAUUUGGGGUGGUGAGUUCAGACACGUACACAUGGGAUAUAAAAGAUUUUCACAAAUGCUGGUCGGGGAUCCUCUGUCCUGGGCCCACCUGUGUAAUAAACUGCACUCCA
ensembl:lncRNA